GACGAACUGUCCAAACGUUGUUCGGAAUCACUGGGCGUAAAGGGUGCGUAGGCGGGUCUUUAAGUCAGGGGUGAAAUCCUGGAGCUCAACUCCAGAACUGCCUUUGAUACUGAGGAUCUUGAGUUCGGGAGAGGUGAGUGGAACUGCGAGUGUAGAGGUGAAAUUCGUAGAUAUUCGCAAGAACACCAGUGGCGAAGGCGGCUCACUGGCCCGAUACUGACGCUGAGGCACGAAAGCGUGGGGAGCAAACAGG
rnacentral:rRNA from 1 species